rnacentral:rRNA from 2 species
GAUGAACGCUGGCGGCGCGCCUAACACAUGCAAGUCGAACGGUUAAAGCACCUUUUAGGUGUGUAUAAAGUGGCGAACGGCUGAGUAACACGUGGGCAACCUGCCCUCCUCUUGGGGAUAGCCUCGGGAAACCGAGGAUAAUACCCGAUACUUCAAUGUGGCCGCAUGACGACAUUGAGAAAGCUUUUGCGGAGAAGGAUGGGCCCGCGGCCUGUUAGCUUGUUGGUGGGGUAGAGGCCUACCAAGGCAAUGAUGGGUAGCUGGGUUGAGAGACCGACCAGCCAGAUUGGGACUGAGACACGGCCCAGACUCCUACGGGAGGCAGCAGUGGGGAAUCUUGCACAAUGGGCGAAAGCCUGAUGCAGCGACGCCGCGUGCGGGACGAAGGCCUUCGGGUUGUAAACCGCUUUCAGCAGGGAC